AGUGCAAGCACAAGCGAUAGGGGAAAGGGGCACAUCCAUGGUUGACUAAGAAAGUAAUAGCUUUUUUGUGACGUGUACAGAGUAUAGAAGCGAGUGGACUCGCUUGUUGGCAGUUGCACGUGUCUAGUCACUACCCUCCCUUUUGCUGGUACAGUUGGAGUUCUCACGUGGCAUGCUUAGGCUAACUUUUGAUUGUAUAUAGUUGGUUUGGAGAUAUAAGGUUAUGUAACCUUCUUUUGCUAAUGGGGUUGUAAAUAAUUAUCGAAACAGUUUGUCGUAUUUUGUUAGGUACAAUAGUAAAGGUUGUGUUAGUAGUUAUAGCUUAA